CAUUAUCUUUCCCUAAACCUAACGCAGUUUCUUUACUUUAUCCUGCGUCGUCUCGCCCGAGAGCCCUUUCCCUGAGUUCCCUCCUUCUCCCCAGUCAAAAACCCUAUUCACAGCGUUGUCACCUUUGCGCUUUCUAGGAAAGAAUGAGUAGCCGUGCGAGCCGAACUCUCUAUGUCGGCAAUCUUCCUGCCGAUAUUCGCGAGAGAGAAGUGGAGGAUUUGUUUCACAAGUAUGGACGUGUAGCCCACAUUGAUCUGAAGGUACCACCAAGGCCCCCAGGUUAUGCAUUUGUUGAGUUUGAAGAUGCUCAAGACGCUGAAGAUGCUAUUCGUGGUCGUGAUGGCUAUGAUUUUGACGGGCAUCGGCUACGUGUGGAACUGGCACAUGGUGGCCGUGGACAUCCAUCAUCAAGAGAUCGUUAUAGUAGUCAUAGCAAUGGUCGUGGUGGACGUGGUGGAGUAUCCAGGCGCUCUGAAUUUCGUGUGCUUAUCACUGGAUUGCCUUCUUCUGCUUCAUGGCAAGACCUUAAGGACCACAUGCGACAAGCUGGGGAUGUUUGUUUUUCCCAAGUUUUCCGUGAGAACGGUGGCACAACAGGGAUUGUGGAUUACACAAACUAUGAAGACAUGAAGUAUGCAGUAAAAAAACUUGAUGACUCUGAGUUUCGGAAUGCAUUUUCUCGGGGAUAUGUUCGUGUUAGGGAAUAUGAUUCAAAGAGGGAUGCCUCUAGGAGCCCUAGUCGUGGUCGAUCUUAUUCAAGAGGCAGGAGCUAUAGCCGCAGUCGUAGCCGAAGUAUUAGUCUGGGCAGGAGCAAGAGCAAGUCUCCUAAAGCCAAAUCUUCUCACCGUUCGCCUGCUAGAUUGCAGUCGAGGCCUGCUUCUCGAUCUCACUCUCGUUCUCGCCCUGGUUCAAGGUCCCGUUCUAUGUCAGGAUAUGGAUACAUGCAGCAAAGUGGGGAUUGGAUAUUAGGAUCUUGAUGGGAUUUGGUUCUGUUGCCUGCAACUCUUUUGGUUGUGGAGCAUUGCAAAUGUCCAUGGGUGCUAGAUUGGGAACAAAGGAGAUCAUGGUUGCAAUUUUAAAGCUGGAUAUCUGUGACCUAAGUGGCAUUGGGAUUUGGAUAUCAUCAUCAAUGAGCAGUAGAGAUGAUUUCAUUUUCCUUUUCUGCUCCAACAUUUGCCAAGCUAAUAGGCUGCUCACUGGAUUUUUUUUGGUACAGUAGGGAAAAUUUCUCUUCCGUCCACUGGUGUCUUGAAAAUACCUUCUGAUGCUUUCAUUAAGAUUUCUUGUCUCUAUGAGUUUUUGUCAUGUUUAUAGACUGGAGUUAUAUGAAUUGGCCUGAUAUUUUUUGUUUUGUUGAACUGCUAUAUAUUAUAUUUUUGGCUUUUCCAUGUAUCCAUUUGGAUAUGGUAACUCCGUGGAAGAGGCAUCAAGGCUCUUGGAUCGAAUUUGGUAAAAGGAACAUGUGGGUUUUAAAAUGGGUUGUUUCUGGAACUUUUGCAGAUCCCGCUCAAGAUCCAGAUCUCCGGUGCCUGCGCGUGAGAAACAUAAGAGUAAAAGCCCAAAGAGACGCAGUACAAGCAGGAGCCCAAGCAGGAGCAGGAGCAAGAGCAAGAGCGUAUCCAGGUGAGAUCUGAUUGCAGCUGAUCUGUUAAUCCCUGAAGCACUGAUGAGGGUGUGGUCUUUUCUGUUUUUUGUUUUUCUUUCUACUGUACCAGGAAUUAUGCUUGGCCAGCAAU